rnacentral:lncRNA from 1 species
CUGAUUUAAUAAAGGAAAUUUAUUACGUGGUACUAAACCACAUGGUACUAAUCCACGUUAACACAUUAUCUACCUUUACACUCAGGUCACAUCUAAUUUGAAUGAGGAUUUUGAAUCUUCAGGUUCCCCUGGUGUUUAAUCAUUUACCCAAGCUUUGUUGUCUGUCUUGACACUUUGUAUGCUCGUCAGUGUAGUGAGUCAGGGAUGAGUUGGAGAGAACAUAAGGAAACAAUUUAUGCUUGGGUUAUUCUGCUCAAUAAAACCGACAUAUGAUAUUCCAAAGAGUCAUCGCCAUCAAAAGCACUGACAAAAGCACCACUUAAAAUGAAAGAUCAUAAGAAGGAAUCUAUCUCUGUGAAGAAUUUCCACCAAAGCAUGCAGGAAUUUACCAAGUGGCAUAAGACCAGAAAGCAGACAGAGAUUUCCUUUUCCUCUUUGGCAGCUCAUCGCUCUGCAGAAAUGUGGAACACUUGCUGUGAUUUUUCAAGAAGAAAAAAAGGAAAGGAAAGUCCAGCCCAUCCCACUUUUGAAUGUCAGAGGCACAAGUAGAAUGAUCUGAAACUCAAUGCACUUUGAACAUUUUUUUUUGCAGCAGAUGGAAAUCAAUACUCUAGUAGAUGUGAAAUGUUAACAUAUUCCAGUAGAAUCCAAAAUACGAUUGUCUGGUGGAUUUGCCAGAUUGCACAUAUAUUUAGAAACAGGGAGCAGGGGCUUAAAUGAAAAUAUAUGAUCUCCCGAUUAUUUGAUGGACUUCUAAAAGCUUCUGUGCUAUGUGUCAGAAAACUAAUACAUAUAGCGGUAUCCACCAAACACUGUGUUAUAAGAAACCAUAUCUAGAAGUCCAGGAAUAGCAUUCGAAAGAAGUAUACAGUGGUGCCUUGACUUACGAACGCCUUGAUCUACGAACAUUUUGACUUAUGAACUCCAUUUGUGAAAUUUUGCUUUGACAGGCAAACAGAGCUUUGUCUUAUGAAAGGAAAAAGGCAGGGUAAAGGGGUGGGGAAUACAAAUAGACUAACCGUUGGUGACAAAGAGGCUGCUUCUUUCUAGCUCUUUUGCCUCAACGGUUUGGGAAAGGGAUGCGGCGGCGACAGUGGGGGCUGGUGGGGUUAUGUUUAUGUUUAUUUGUUUUGAUUUUUGCAACCCCAGGGGCUUGUGGUGUUUUAUUUUUAUUUUUAAUUUUUUUGGUUUUUUUUAAUGCUGGAAUGGAUUAAUCCCAUUCCCAUGCGUUUCAAUGGGAAAU